rnacentral:rRNA from 1 species
UGAGGAAUAUUGGUCAAUGGGCGAGAGCCUGAACCAGCCACGUCGCGUGAAGGAAGACUGACCUUACGGUUUGUAAACUUCUUUUGUAGAGGGGUAAUGGCAGAUACGUGUAUUUGCGUGAAAGUACUCUACGAAUAAGCAUCGGCUAACUCCGUGCCAGCAGCCGCGGUAAUACGGGGGAUGCGAGCGUUAUCCGGAAUUAUUGGGUUUAAAGGGCAUCUAGGCGGUAAGACAAGUUGAAGGUGAAAACCUGUGGCUCAACCAUAGGCUUGCCUACAAAACUGUUGAACUAGAGUACUGGAAAGGUGGGUGGAACUACACGAGUAGAGGUGAAAUUCGUAGAUAUGUGUAGGAAUGCCGAUGAUGAAGAUAACUCACUGGACAGAAACUGACGCUGAAGUGCGAAAGCUAGGGGAGCAAACAGG